rnacentral:tRNA from 1 species
UACGCUAUAGCCAAGUGGUUACGGCGACAGAUUCGAAAUCUGUUCCACUUUGGGGGCGCAGGUUCGAAUCCUGCUGGCGUCG